UACUUUCUGUAAUAAAACAGGGAGGAGUCAGAGCAGACUGGCCUUCUCUUUCCCAGGGCUGUUGCCCACCCCAGGCGUCAACAGAACACCAACCUGUCCCACUGGAGGGGAAGAGGCUGGACAUCCUGGACUGACUUGAGCAGAAGGAAGCAGCAGGAGCUUUCAAAACAGAAUCUCCAUCUUGAUUAACCCUUGCAGCAGCCAUGGGCAUUGACAGAGCCACAAUCAGGUUGCUAAACCUUAUUUGAUAGACGACAAACUGAAGCUCAGAAAAGAAAAUGACCCAUGCAGAGGUCCUCCUGGGGAUGGUAGAACUGCCCACCCCUAUGCUUUUCCCCGAGAUUCUCGAGGAGGACUCAUUCCUUCCCUGACUCUGAUAUACCUGGCACCUCCAACUCCUCCUGGCCUCUCCUUUCUGCAGGCAGUGGCUGGAGUAGCCGGGCCUCAUCAGAAGGUGGUGUGGGAAUGAGAGGGGGCGGCAGGAUUUGCAAGUCCCUGGACACCUCAGAAGGCCGAGUCACCUCUCCGCCCUGCAGGAGACAAAGUCCAGCAAGGAGGGAUAAGUAAUGUAGCUGGGAGGGAGGGGAGCUGUACCUGGGAGGGGGAGAGCAGGCAGACUCACCCGGAAAAACUCCUUGAGCUGAGGGCUGUUGUUGAGUGCAGGGAUGGGCACCGUGAAGCGCAGCAGGUCCUCUGCACCCUUGCGCCGUUCCUCAAUCACAGAAGCUUCAAACCGACCUGCAGACCACAGGGCAGGAGGCCAGCAGUGUCACAGGCUUCUGGUUCACCCCACAUGUCCUGGUUCUGCCUAUAUGUGCUGAGCAGGCUACUGGCCAUCAUCCCCAUGUCCCCAUAGUCUUUCCCAGCUCCUCCUCCAGAUGUGCAAUGACCCCUUCCUGCUGGCUCUGGGUUCCUGAGGAAACCAGCUCCUGUUCUCAAGGUAUCACGCCAGAGACAGGGAAAUAAGAAAGCUCCGUCUGGCCUCUUUCUUCCCGCAACACCCUCCUUCUGUUCCCUCGCUCUCUGUGUUCCCAUGUUUUCUCUCUGUCUCUGUCUCUGUCUCCAAUGUCUCAUUAUGUAACUGGUGGCUUCUGAACUUGCUGUGAAGACCUCAAACUCAUGGAGAUGCGUCUGCCUCUGCCUUCUGUGUGCUGAGAUUGCAGGUGUGGGCUAUCAUGUCUGACCAGAGGGCGGUUUAGGGCUUGGAUGUGAUCAGGAGGGAAGUAAAGCACAGAGAAGGAGGUGACUUGCCCAAGGUCACAGAGCAAGACGCUAUUUCACGGCUGGGCAAGGUGGAGCUCACCCCUGUUAGCCCAUGCUUGGAAGGCUGUGGCAGAAGGAUCAUCAGAGGUUCAAGGCUAGGAAAUGGAAAAAACAAAACCCAAACCUAGCCAACAACAGAUGCGAAGCUCCAUGUAGUCUAGUCCAGCUCUGCCCUAGUGCUGUGCUGGGGCACAGCCUGCCCCUCACCCUGCGAUCCACGGUGGUCGCAUUAGCCCAGGUGACUGCCAGCAACACAUGACUCUGGGAACUCCUGUCAUAAUGGAUUAAUGGACUCCUGGGUUCUCUGUUAUAAAAACUAGCUCGGUUCUGUCACUUAUGUCUUCCUUGACUCUCUCUGUGCCAUGCUCCCUGCCACCUUGGGGCUCUGCCAGCAACAGAGCCAUCAGCAGAUGUGGCCUCUGAACCUUGGACCAGAGCCAUAUGCCAACAUAAGCGUCUUUUCUAUAGUAACCAAUACAUCGUCUGUGUUGCUGCAAGGGAGAACGACUGACGCUCGGACACAGGCCUUUCUCCGUGAUGAGCCUCAUUUGCUGGGACUGUUCAUAGCCCAACAUAACAAGGGGUAGGCUGCUCUGAGCCUCAGUUUCCCCACAUUCAAUGAGACCAUCUCAGAAGGCCCAUCCAGGUUUCCAAAGAUGUCUAUUCAGGGUACAGGGUCACACAGCCCCCAUGAGACCAGUUCCCCUUUGCCUAAAUCUACCUGCACACUGGGGCAGGGGUUCAGAGUCAAUACUCACCAAACACCUGAGCACGGGGGAAAGCCGGAAACUCCUCUAGGCGACGGAAGAGGUUGCGGUGAGUGUAGGCCAAGUCCCCGUGGAGCUUACGGAAGUCACUGUAUCGCUUCCAGACUACUACCUAGGAGGCAGGGGAGAACUGACGUGGACCAGCAGGUGCGGAAAGCGGCCUUCCGUGCUCAGUCUAUGUUCGCUCGAGACUGAGAAGGACUGCACACACCCUCUCCUGAGAAGGACUGCACAUACCCUCUCCAGCACCAGCCAUGGAAGAAGGCAGGUCCUUACAGUUACCAGCUACUCCCUUACGGAUUCAGUGUGUGUAUAUGGGAACGGUCCCCCUUUCCCAGGAGUCUUACCUCUUUGAUGUCCUCCGGGUCCUUCUUUGAGAUGAACUGAGAAAGGAAAGGCAAGAGGGUGAGACGAGAGCCUGGCAUGCAGCCCUAUGCUACCCUUAAAAGCCGAGGGCCUCCAGUGUCCCU